rnacentral:lncRNA from 1 species
CAGCUUCCAGGUACUGCAGGUAGUCCAGGUGGUCUGUUGUUAUUUAUAAUAAAGAAACAACACAGCAGAACUGCCUGGCAGUGGCCCAUGAGGCCCAGAGAAAGGACGGGCUGAGGGAUGUCAUCACUGAAGGACAGCUAAAAGUGGACUUUCUUCCUCCCACACUGUAAGCAGAGAGGAUUUAUUGAACAUCUGUUCAGUACAUGGCUGGGAAGAUUGAUUAAUUUAAUUGCUCACACUUUGCUUAAGUAACAUUUGAAUACUUAAUGUCAGGUUUGAAGGAUAUUACAACAUUUACUCGCACACCUUUUUAAAGAGGCAGAGUUUCUCAUUGCUUUUUGUGUCUUUCAAGGAAGCUGAAAUGCAUCCUGAAAUUUACUUUGCCCAGAGGUCUGGGAAAACUGGAGAAAGUGGGAAAAGCUCCUUUCUUCAUAAAUGCAGUUGACCAGCAGAGCAGCAUUCAUUAGAAUCUGAAUGAGAAGAGAGAAGGGGAUAUAUGGCAAUUUAUGGUAUGUAACCAAGAGCAACAUGUUUUAUGUUUAAGUAUAUCGUUCUUUAGCAUUCUAGAGGACUAUGAAAGAGG